rnacentral:rRNA from 1 species
GGCGAGUGCUUGCACUUGCGCUGACGAGUGGCGGACGGGUGAGUAACGCGUAGGAAUCUACCUGGUAGUGGGGGAUAGCCCGGGGAAACUCGGAUUAAUACCGCAUACGCCCUACGGGGGAAAGCAGGGGCUCUUCGGACCUUGCGCUAUUGGAUGAGCCUGCGUUAGAUUAGCUAGUUGGUGGGGUAAAGGCCUACCAAGGCGACGAUCUAUAGCUGGUCUGAGAGGAUGAUCAGCCACACUGGGACUGAGACACGGCCCAGACUCCUACGGGAGGCAGCAGUGGGGAAUAUUGCGCAAUGGGCGAAAGCCUGACGCAGCCAUGCCGCGUGUGUGAAGAAGGCUCUAGGGUCGUAAAGCACUUUAAGUGGGGAGGAAGGCUACUUGGUUAAUACCUGAGUAGAUUGACGUUACCCACAGAAUAAGCACCGGCUAACUCCGUGCCAGCAGCCGCGGUAAUACGGAGGGUGCGAGCGUUAAUCGGAAUUACUGGGCGUAAAGCGCGCGUAGGCGGUUUUGUAAGCUGGGUGUGAAAGCCCCGGGCUCAACCUGGGAACUGCAUUCAGAACUGCAAGGCUAGAGUACAGUAGAGGGUGGUAGAAUUUCCUGUGUAGCGGUGAAAUGCGUAGAUAUAGGAAGGAAUACCAGUGGCGAAGGCGGCCACCUGGACUGAUACUGACGCUGAGGUGCGAAAGCGUGG